rnacentral:rRNA from 1 species
UACGUAGGGGGCAAGCGUUGUCCGGAAUUAUUGGGCGUAAAGAGCGCGUAGGCGGUCCGAUAAGUCGGCUGUGAAAGUCAGGGGCUUAACCCUUGAAAGCCGGCCGAUACUGUCGGACUAGAGUCCGGAAGAGGCAAGUGGAAUUCCCGGUGUAGCGGUGAAAUGCGCAGAUAUCGGGAGGAACACCAAUGGCGAAGGCAGCUUGCUGGGACGGUACUGACGCUGAGGCGCGAAAGCGUGGGGAGCAAACAGG